GUUGAGAUGGCGCCGGCGGUGGCGAAGACGGGGCUGUUCGUGGGGCUGAACAAGGACCACUUUGUCACCAAGCGCGGAGCUCCCGCCUCGCCCUUCCGCCCUCGAAGGAGGAAGUUGCUGAAUUGGCACCGCAUUAUCACUUAGCUUCUGUGGAUUUGUUAGGACUAGCAUGCUCUUAAGUUGGCUAAAAGAAAGCUUGGACGCACACGAAAGCUAAGAAGAAGCGUGAGAAGAUGCUCAAUGUUCUUAGGAGGAUGAGAUCUGCGAAGUGAAGCGGCGCAACUUGCUAAGAAGUGCUGCCGUUGUGUUGAGAAUUGACUACUCAGUUCUGAUAGACAGAAUUUUGCAGGACGUAUCUAGUGAAGGAAACCGAGCUUACACAUGGAUACUCAUUUGACUGAAAGUAGAUAAUAGAAGGUCUUGAUUCCUUCUUAUGAGGUUCUGUCAGUGUUCUGGCUGUAUAUUUUCUCAGUUUUAUGAAACACUUGAAUAUGCUGAUAGUCUGGGUUUGCCGUUACACUGUUGGAUCAAGUUUUGUGUUUUGUGAGGGACUAAGCAGCUAGAGCAACCUAUAUCUUGGUGAUGUAGUAUCUAAUAUGAGUUGUGUCUUGUUCCAUCAGUUGCUUUUACAGAGAAAUAUAUGUUUCCACUGCUCUGAAGGCAUCA